UACGGGGGGAGCAAGCGUUGUUCGGAUUUACUGGGCGUAAAGGGCGCGUAGGCGGCCAGCACAAGUCAGUUGUGAAAUCUCCGAGCUUAACUCGGAAAGGUCAACUGAUACUGUGCGGCUAGAGUGCGGAAGGGGCAACUGGAAUUCUUGGUGUAGCGGUGAAAUGCGCAGAUAUCGGGAGGAACACCAAUUGCGAAGGCAGCUCGCUGGGACGUUACUGACGCUGAGACGCGAAAGCGUGGGGAGCAAACAGG
rnacentral:rRNA from 1 species